rnacentral:rRNA from 1 species
CCUACGGGAGGCAGCAGUGGGGAAUAUUGCACAAUGGACGAAAGUCUGAUGCAGCAACGCCGCGUGGAGGAUGACACAUUUCGGUGCGUAAACUCCUUUUAUUAGGGAAGAUAAUGACGGUACCUAAUGAAUAAGCACCGGCUAACUCCGUGCCAGCAGCCGCGGUAAUA